rnacentral:rRNA from 1 species
UGGGGAAUUUUGGACAAUGGGCGCAAGCCUGAUCCAGCCAUGCCGCGUGCGGGAAGAAGGCCUUCGGGUUGUAAACCGCUUUUGUCAGGGAAGAAAUCUUCUGAGUUAAAUACCUCGGGAGGAUGACGGUACCUGAAGAAUAAGCACCGGCUAACUACGUGCCAGCAGCCGCGGUAAUACGUAGGGUGCAAGCGUUAAUCGGAAUACUGGGCGUAAAGCGUGCGCAGGCGGUUUUGUAAGACAGAGGUGAAAUCCCCGGGCUCAACCUGGGAACUGCCUUUGUGACUGCAAGGCUUGAGUGCGGCAGAGGGGGAUGGAAUUCCGCGUGUAGCAGUGAAAUGCGUAGAUAUGCGGAGGAACACCGAUGGCGAAGGCAAUCCCCUGGGCCUGCACUGACGCUCAUGCACGAAAGCGUGGGGAGCAAAACAGGAUUAGAUACCCUGGUAGUCCACGCCCUAAAACGAUGUCAACUGGUUGUUGGGAAGGUUCCUUCUCAGUACGUAGCUAACGCGUAAGUUGA